UGGGGAAUAUUGCACAAUGGGCGCAAGCCUGAUGCAGCCAUGCCGCGUGUAUGAAGAAGGCCUUCGGGUUGUAAAGUACUUUCAGUCGGGAGGAAGGUGGUAAGGUUAAUAACCUUAUCAAUUGACGUUACCGACAGAAGAAGCACCGGCUAACUCCGUGCCAGCAGCCGCGGUAAUACGGAGGGUGCAAGCGUUAAUCGGAAUUACUGGGCGUAAAGCGCACGCAGGCGGUUGAUUGAGUCAGAUGUGAAAUCCCCGGGCUUAACCCGGGAAUUGCAUCUGAUACUGGUCAGCUAGAGUCUUGUAGAGGGGGGUAGAAUUCCAUGUGUAGCGGUGAAAUGCGUAGAGAUGUGGAGGAAUACCGGUGGCGCAGGCGGCCCCCUGGACAAAGACUGACGCUCAGGUGCGAAAGCGUGGGGAGCAAACAGG
rnacentral:rRNA from 1 species